rnacentral:lncRNA from 1 species
GACCAUUAGCUCAGAGGCCAUCAUUUCCUUGCAGCGUCCAGAGCGCGGGAGCCACCACAGGAGCAGGGGCAGGAGCCAGCUUCGUCGCGUGGGAGCCGCUGGAGCCGCAGGACCAGAGCUGCUGUUGCAGAAGCCCCCAAGGCCUCCGCCAACGCUGCCUCAGGAGCCAAAGCCGCCGCCAGAGCCAAUGCAGAAACCAAGGCCACCGCCGCCCUAAGCCAAUGUUGUGGCCUUGAGACCACAGCAACCUUAAACGCCACGUGUAAAACAUAGGAGCCGCUGCCACCAUCGUUGCCGCUGCCGCCGCAGCUGUUGCCAAUGCAGCUGCAAGACCUUGGAGCCUCCGCCGCCGCUGCUGGAGCACAAGAACCGUGGUAGACAAUGCCAGCUGGGGAGAAGGAGCCACUGCCGCCAGAACACGAAGCCGCCGCCCCCAGGUCCAACAACUGCUGGAGACAACGCUGCUUCAGGAGCACGGGAGUCACCGCUUCCAGAGCACAGGAACCAUUGGAGCCUUCAGCGUGUCCAGAUCAUGGGAACCGCUUCCCUCGCUCCUCUGUCACUGCAGUCGCCCACCAGCUGGAGACAAUGUCACUGCCGCCCCCACUGCAGCCAGGACACGGAGCUGCUACCGGAGCCAACCCCCCUGCCCAGAGCCAAUGUUGACACCUCCACCAGAGCACAGGAAGGGCCAGAGCGCGGGAGGAAACGCUGCUACUGUCUCCCUCUUCUGGACACCAGAGCCACCUGCCGCCGCCACCACGUGCAGAGCACAAGAGCCAAAGCCGCCAUCGCCAUUCUUAGCGAUUAAGGAGCCGCAGCCGGCAUCACCUAAUCGCUGGAGCCACGACGCCACCCUCUCGGACUCCAGGAACAGGAGCCGCUGCCAGAGCACAGGAGCCACUGAACGCUGGAGCCACGGCCGGCCUCGGUGAGUUCAGAGCUGCCCAGGACAGGACCCAAGCCAAAAGGACGCUGCGCAAGGCUUGGCCAUG